rnacentral:ncRNA from 2 species
GAAUAGAAAACGGGGAGCUUGCAUAAGCAGGCUGAGAGGAGACUGGCAGCGUUUCGACCCAUAACCUGAUUUGGAUAAUGCCAACGUAGGGAUGAUUUACAGAGAAAAA